UACGGAGGAGGCAAGCGUUAUCCGGAAUUAUUGGGCGUAAAGCGUCCGCAGGUGGCACCUCAAGUCUGCUGUCAAAGACCGGGGCUUAACCCCAGAAAGGCAGUGGAAACUGAAGUGCUAGAGUGCAGUAGGGGUAGAGGGAAUUCCCGGUGUAGCGGUGAAAUGCGUAGAGAUCGGGAAGAACAUCGGUGGCGAAAGCGCUCUGCUGGACUGCAACUGACACCCAGGGACGAAAGCUAGGGGAGCGAAUGGG
rnacentral:rRNA from 1 species